AUCCAGUUGAUGAGUCCCAAAUAUGGCGAAGCGUGCGUUCUGGAU
rnacentral:hammerhead_ribozyme from 1 species